GAUCCUGGCUCAGGACGAACGCUGGCGGCGUGCCUAACACAUGCAAGUCGAACGGAGAAUUUUAUUUCGGUAGAAUUCUUAGUGGCGAACGGGUGAGCAACGCGUAGGCAACCUACCCUUUAGACGAGGACAACAUUCCGAAAGGAGUGCUAAUACCGGAUGUGAUCAUCGUGCCGCAUGGCAGGAUGAAGAAAGAUGGCCUCUACAAGUAAGCUAUCGCUAAAGGAUGGGCCUGCGU
rnacentral:rRNA from 1 species